rnacentral:lncRNA from 12 species
UCCUCCUCGGGACCCGGGAAACGUGCUGCCAAACCUAAGGGCAGGAUAGUUGCUGCCUAAGGUCUGGGCCCUGAGCUGCAAUAGCACCGUAUUGAAAUGCCCACAGUUAGGACUCGCGACCCCGAAGUACUCGUGAGCGGAUCCAGAACUGCAAGUGCUCAUGAGCAGGUGGCAAGGCUGUUGGCGGACUUAUCCUGGCUGCUUGCACGUUAUCCGUGAAUUAUCCUGAUGAACAGCAGCAACCUGAUUCAAGAGGCAACUGGUCCCGGGGUUUUCUGAAGCUUUCUCACACGGAGGAGAGUCAUCCUACAUCAGUGCUGUGGCUGCUCCAAAAGAGGUUUUGAUCUGUACCUCUAUGGGGAUAAAAGAGGUCUUUGCAGAAGGGAGCUCAAGAAAAAAGAG